GAUGAAGAACGUAGCGAAAUGCGAUAAGUAAUGUGAAUUGCAGAAUUCAGUGAAUCAUCGAAUCUUUGAACGCACAUUGCGCCCGCCAGUAUUCUGGCGGGCAUGCCUGGUCGAGCGUCAUUUCAACCCUCAGGGCCCUUUUGGACCUGGCGUUGGGGCUCGGCCGCUACCCUGCGGCCGUCCCCGAAAGAUAGUGGCGGUCUCGCUGUAGCCUCCUCUGCGUAGUAGUUACAUCUCGCACUGGAACGCGGCGCGGCCAUGCCGUUAAACACCCCACUUCUCAAGGUUGACCUCGGAUCAGGUAGGAAUACCCGCUGAACUUAAGCAUAUCAAUAAGCGGAGGA
rnacentral:misc_RNA from 1 species